UUUGACUUCUCUGUGUGCAGCCAAGUUGUAAGUAGAACCUAGAAAGCCAGAAGGACAUGGAGAGGGAGCCCCCAGCUGCAGCUGCCCUGGAGGAUCUCUGACCAUUCCGGAAGCUGUCCAGGAUGCCAGCAUGAGAUGCCUGGAGAGAGGGGAAGGGGCUUGGGGUGCAGAUGGGGACAGAGGAGUCACACCUCUGCUCCACAGAGCCCGCUCCAAUCCACAAUGUGACUUUGCUGUUCUGCCUGUCACAGGCUGGGAUUUAUUUCUCUGUUGUUUGAAGUCAGGCCAGCCUGUGACACAGAAAGUGCCAGCAGGGCCUUGUGCAAGUCCCAAGGCUUGAGCCUCAAGGGGACUUGUGGCUUUGGUCUUCACCUGCCCUUGUAACUACCAUUCAGAGACCAGGCUUCUGUGGAUGGAUUUCAGCCAUGUUGCCUCUUGCCUGGAAUGAAGAAUGCUGCCUUCUACUAGGAGCUGACUUCUCUCCCCACCCCUCCCUACCCUCCCCACCCCUCCCCGCCAGUUCCCUUUUCCUCCUGAAGUUGUUUGUUUUAUCAGAUCUUUCAUUACAGCAGGAAGUUGCCAACACUCCUCUUUGGUUAGAUUUCCCCCGAGUUUUCUUAAUUGAUUAAUGACAUUUUCAUUUCUGGUAUUUAGAAAUACAAUGUCAUUUU
rnacentral:lncRNA from 1 species